GGGUCCACCUCCUAAAAUGAAACCCUAGCCUAAAGCCAAGUGUCCCACACAUUGGGCUUCUACAAAAUUUGCCACAAAAGGGCCUAAAAACACCUAAUCUAAUUAAGGUUUCAAAAAAAAAGGAAAUUACACUUAAUUAAAAUGGAAGUGACUAAAUGUUGAGUCUUGAAUGAUCACGCCACCUUCCCUAAUGCUCCAAAUGAUGUUUCCAAAAUUUCCCUGCAC
rnacentral:lncRNA from 1 species